rnacentral:rRNA from 1 species
UGCAAGUCGAACGGGAUUGAGAAGCUUGCUUUUCAUGAGAGUGGCGCACGGGUGCGUAACACGUAUGUAACCUACCUUAAUCUGGGGGAUAGCCUCUCGAAAGAGAGAUUAACACCGCAUAACAUUAGCACAUAGCAUUUUGUACUAAUCAAAUAUUUAUAGGAUUAAGAUGGGCAUGCGGAACAUUAGCUAGUUGGUAAGGUAAUGGCUUACCAAGGCUACGAUGUUUAGGGGAUCUGAGAGGAUGACCCCCCACACUGGUACUGAGACACGGACCAGACUCCUACGGGAGGCAGCAGUAAGGAAUAUUGGUCAAUGGGCGCAAGCCUGAACCAGCCAUGCCGCGUGCAGGAAGACGGCCCUACGGGUUGUAAACUGCUUUUGUACCGGAAUAAACCCUUUUACGUGUAAGAGGCUGAAUGUACGGUAAGAAUAAGGAUCGGCUAACUCCGUGCCAGCAGCCGCGGUAAUACGGAGGAUCCAAGCGUUAUCCGGAUUUAUUGGGUUUAAAGGGUGCGUAGGUGGCUUUUUAAGUCAGGGGUGAAAGACGGUAGCUUAACUAUCGCAGUGCCUUUGAUACUGAAGAGCUUGAAUGAACUAGAGGUAGGCGGAAUGUGACAAGUAGCGGUGAAAUGCAUAGAUAUGUCACAGAACACCAAUUGCGAAGGCAGCUUACUAUGGUUUUAUUGACACUGAGGCACGAAAGCGUGGGGAUCAAACAGGAUUAGAUACCCUGGUAGUCCACGCCCUAAACGAUGAAUACUCGAUGUUGGCGAUAUACGGUCAGCGUCUAAGCGAAAGCGUUAAGUAUUCCACCUGGGGAGUACGCCCGCAAGGGUGAAACUCAAAGGAAUUGACGGGGGCCCGCACAAGCGGAGGAGCAUGUGGUUUAAUUCGAUGAUACGCGAGGAACCUUACCCGGGCUUGAAAGUUAGUGAAUUGAGCAGAGACGCUCAAGUCCUUCGGGACACGAAACUAGGUGCUGCAUGGCUGUCGUCAGCUCGUGCC